AUGGACGACUCCGCGGCGCCGCUCACCUCGCGCCACGGUCUCCUCCUCGUGCGCAAGGGCGGCCUCCUGAUCGUGUGCAACCUACUCACCGGCGAAUACAAGUCGCUCCCCAGCCUAGAGCACAAUUGGCGUGACCCGGAUUGCUUGGUUGGUUAUGCCUUGCUGACUGACACAGAUUGUUCGAGAUCGGAGGACGAAGCCAAGCCGCCCUUCUUCAAGGUGCUAAUCAUUAUCAUCGAAAGGAGAUUUAUGGCCUACCGUCUCUACACGUUCUCGUCUCUUGACGAGUGGGGAUGGAACAUGAGCAACGUCGAUGUGGAGCAUCAGGACCGCAUCGGGGCCAUGCUCAGGCAGCACGAAGCUGUCGUGUGUGGCGGCGCCGUGCACUGGUUCUUUGGAGGCGGAUCAGGGUUCUACACGCUUGAUGUCGAUGCCAGGACUGACCACUUCUCCAUCACAAGGCUACAUAACGUCAAACCGGGCGACCUGGUCCGUCCCGAUACUUAUGACGUGCCAUACCUUAGCGUUGAUGAUGAAGGCAGCCUCGUGUUGCUCUGCCUACAGUUGGAUGGAAGCCAACUAGAGAUCCGGAGAUGGCACGAGGAUAGCGCGAGGCCUCUGAUAACCAGGCUAGAACCACGGACUCAACAGAAGAAGACAAAGAGGCUGUUUGCCCCACAGACUAAACAACGAUACACGUGCUUGGGAGAGAAGAACGGCACCUUGCUUAUCAAGGGUGAUGACCAACACAUGUAUGUCGCCGAUGUCAAGACUGGGGUGUUGCAAGAAGUGACGGAUUAUCGUUGCGGUCAUGAUGUCAGCCGUAGAGAGAUCGUGCCCUUAGAGCUUAAUUGGCUAGACUUAUUUGUUUCCCGUCUUGGU
rnacentral:rRNA from 1 species